rnacentral:rRNA from 1 species
UGGGGAAUAUUGGACAAUGGGGGGAACCCUGAUCCAGCGAUGCCGCGUGUGUGAAGAAGGCCUGAGGGUUGUAAAGCACUUUCAGUAGGGAGGAGAGGUUAUAGGUUAAGAGCUAAUGACUGAGACGUUACCUACAGAAGAAGCACCGGCUAACUCCGUGCCAGCAGCCGCGGUAAUACGGAGGGUGCAAGCGUUAAUCGGAAUAACUGGGCGUAAAGGGUGCGUAGGUGGAUAAUUAAGUUAGCUGUGAAAGACCUGGGCUUAACCUGGGGGAGUCAGCUAAGACUGGUAAUCUAGAGUAUAGGAGAGGGUAGUGGAAUUUCCGGUGUAGCGGUGAAAUGCGUAGAGAUCGGAAGGAACACCAGUGGCGAAGGCGGCUACCUGGCCUGAUACUGACACUGAGGCACGAAAGCGUGGGGAGCAAACAGG